UACGGAGGGAGCUAGCGUUGUUCGGAAUUACUGGGCGUAAAGCGCGCGUAGGCGGCUUUGUAAGUUAGAGGUGAAAGCCCGGAGCUCAACUCCGGAAUUGCCUUUAAGACUGCAUCGCUAGAAUCAUGGAGAGGUUAGUGGAAUUCCGAGUGUAGCGGUGAAAUGCGCAGAUAUUAGGAAGAACACCGGUGGCGAAGGCGGGUCUCUGGGCAACAACUGACGCUGAGGAGCGAAAGCGUGGGAGCGAACAGG
rnacentral:rRNA from 1 species